GAUGAACGCUAGCUACAGGCUUAACACAUGCAAGUCGAGGGGAAACGGCAUCGAAAGCUUGCUUUUGAUGGGCGUCGACCGGCGCACGGGUGAGUAACGCGUAUCCAACCUGCCCAUCACUUGGGAAUAACCUUGCGAAAGUAAGACUAAUGCCCAAUGACAUCCCACGAAGGCAUCCGAAUGGGAUUAAAGAUUUAUCGGUGAUGGAUGGGGAUGCGUCUGAUUAGCUUGUUGGCGGGGUGACGGCCCACCAAGGCAACGAUCAGUAGGGGUUCUGAGAGGAAGGUCCCCAACAUUGGAACUGAGACACGGUCCAAACUCCUACGGGAGGCAGCAGUGAGGAAUAUUGGUCAAUGGGCGAGAGCCUGAACCAGCCAAGUAGCGUGCAGGAUGACGGCCCUAUGGGUUGUAAACUGCUUUUAUAAGGGAAUAAAGUGGGUCACGUGUGACUUUUUGCAUGUACCUUAUGAAUAAGGACCGGCUAAUUCCGUG
rnacentral:rRNA from 1 species